rnacentral:rRNA from 1 species
CCUACGGGUGGCAGCAGUGAGGAAUAUUGGUCAAUGGACGAGAGUCUGAACCAGCCAAGUAGCGUGAAGGAUGACUGCCCUAUGGGUUGUAAACUUCUUUUAUAUGGGAAUAAAACGUUCCAAGUGUGGGAUUUUGUAUGUCCCAUAUGAAUAAGGAUCGGCUAACUCCGUGCCAGCAGCCGCGGUAAUACGGAGGCUCCGAGCGUUAUCCGGCUUUAUUGGGGUUAAAGGGAGCGUAGGUGGAUUGUUAAGUCAGUUGUGAAAGUUUGCGGCUCAACCGUAAAAUUGCAGUUGAAACUGGCAGUCUUGAGUACAGUAGAGGUGGGCGGAAUUCGUGGUGUAGCGGUGAAAUGCUUAGAUAUCACGAAGAACUCCGAUUGCGAAGGCAGUUCACUGGACUGCAACUGACACUGAGGCUCGAAAGUGUGGGUAUCAAACAGGAUUAGAUACCCGAGUAGUC